rnacentral:lncRNA from 1 species
AAAAAAAAAAAAAAAAGGCAACCCGAAUACAUGUCUUGUAGACGAAAGUUAUUAUUGUCUCACUCAGGCACGGGCAAGUUGAAAUUGAAACCAAGCAAUUGCCAAAGGGCCUCUUUACUUGCAAGGGUCCUUUUUAAUCAUUUCUUCCCAUGCAAGACUUUGAUCAUGCUUUAAAGUGAGAAUCCGAUUCACUUUGGGCCCCCCUUGCACUGUUGCACAUGCCAAGUUGUCUUGUCUUUGAUGAGUUGUUUCCAUCAGCGCCACCUGAAGUCAUUUGCUUUUCAAGAAAAAGGUCCAAAAGAGGGCCAAAACAAUUAUCUGACAAAGCCUCUGGCCCCUUGUCUUUGCUUCUGCCGUCCUCUCGUGACUCCCCGCAGACACGAGCCAGUGACUAAGAAUAAAGUGGAAAAUGUCACAUUCCUCGUCUCUUACAUACUAUUUUCCUAUAAAUCAGUGCCCAGUAGUCGUAGAUGAGAAGAGAGGGGAAGAGCCAUGGCUAGGACUAGCAGCAAGGUUUUGGCGCAGGUAGUGGUGGUGAUGGUGCUGAUUGCAAUGGUGGGAGGGGCCUCGGCUGCUACCAUAUGCAACAUAGACACCUCCAAGCUGGCUGAAUGCCUACCAGCAGUGAGCGGGCGUUCACCUCCACCACCUACCAAGGCUUGUUGCACUGCCUUGCUCAGCGCCGACCUUCAUUGUUUGUGCAACUACAAAUCUGCCCUUCCUGCAUUUGGAAUCAACCCAGCACUUGCAAUGGCCCUGCCAAAAAAAUGCGGCGGUUCCCUCCCACCAAAUUGCAAGGGUAACAAGUUCAAACUUCAUUUUUCAUCUUCCUUGUGACGUUCUUUCAUCCAUCACAUAACAGCUUUUUUGACAUGAGUGCCUAUGCCUAGUUGUUAAGUUGCCGAUCACUUGGUGUUGUUAUCUAAUAAACUAUUUCAUGUUGUUUCAGUG